AACGAACGCUGGCGGCAGGCCUAACACAUGCAAGUCGAGCGAAGCCUUCGGGCUUAGCGGCGGACGGGUGAGUAACGCGUGGGAACGUGCCCUUUGGUACGGAAUAGCCCCGGGAAACUGGGAGUAAUACCGUAUGUGGUCGAGAGACGGAAGAUUUAUCGCCAAAGGAUCGGCCCGCGUUGGAUUAGGUAGUUGGUGGGGUAAUGGCCUACCAAGCCGACGAUCCAUAGCUGGUUUGAGAGGAUGAUCAGCCACACUGGACUGAGACACGGCCCAGACUCCUACGGGAGGCAGCAGUGGGGAAUCUUAGACAAUGGGGGAAACCCUGAUCUAGCCAUGCCGCGUGACCGAUGAAGGCCUUAGGGUUGUAAAGAUCUUUCAGUGGGGAAGAUAAUGACUGUACCCACAGAAGAAGCCCCGGCUAACUCCGUGCCAGCAGCCGCCGUAAGAC
rnacentral:rRNA from 1 species